rnacentral:rRNA from 1 species
CCUACGGGAGGCAGCAGUGAGGAAUAUUGGUCAAUGGCCGGAAGGCUGAACCAGCCAUGCCGCGUGAAGGUCAGUGCCCUAUGGGCGUUAAACUUCUUUUGUGCGGGAGCAAUAAUGGUCACGUGUGGCCAGACGAGAGUACCGUACGAAUAAGCAUCGGCUAACUCCGUGCCAGCAGCCGCGGUAAUACGGGGGGUGCAAGCGUUAUCCGGAUUUAUUGGGUUUACAGGGUGCGUAGGCUGUGAGGUAAGUCAGCGGUGAAAUGCCCACGCUCAACGGGGUGAAGUGCCAUUGAUACUGGCGUGCUGGAAUGCGGAUGCGGUGGGAGGAAUGUGUGGUGUAGCGGUGAAAUGCAUAGAUAUCACACAGAACACCGAUUGCGAAGGCAUCUCACGAAUCCGCGAUUGACGCUGAUGCACGAAAGCGUGGGUAUCAAACAGGAUUAGAUACCCUUGUAGUC